ACUCCUACUUGGUAUGUCUUUUAGAAGAUUAAGUUUAAAUAAGGUCACGUAUUUAACAUACCCCAAAGAUUUCCCUGUACAUACCUGGCACUUCAGAAAUGGACAAAACAGCACCCUUUGAGACUGUUCCCUUAGAAGGUGGGAAAGGGUGCGCACAAUGCCAACAACCUAACCUGAAUAAAUCUUAUUCUGCUUAAAAACUGUAACAUUCGUAAGAGCUACAGCAUUAGUACUGCCAACAGUUCUAGCAAUUUAGAACGUAGCAUAAUGCCAAGAGUUCCGGCAGUUCAGAAUCAGGAACUUCAUGUAGAAAGAAGGAUUCUGCCCAGCAGACGGAAUCCUGAAGAAGAAUCGCAGCACUUCCUGGGCGGACUCAACACUUCUGGUUCAUUCGUUACAACAGCUGUAAGAGGAGGCGGUGUUUCUCCCCUUGCAGGGAGGAAGAAAAAGAAGAAAUCAGAAAAGAAAUGGUGUCAGCGAGUCCAUCCAAGUCCCUUCACUUCCGUCUCAAAUGCAAGGGUGGCGGCUCCAGAGUCAGGGGCCGAGCCCUCUGCUGGCAGCAGGGGGUGUGUGCUGCCUCAUAGUGUGGGGGCUGCAGUGUCAGCAUCUCUAGAAAAGACCUCAUUCACAUUC